rnacentral:rRNA from 1 species
UACGGGGGGGCAAGCGUUGUUCGGAAUUACUGGGCGUAAAGGGCGCGUAGGCGGCCUGCUAAGUCGGACGUGAAAUCCCUCGGCUCAACCGGGGAACUGCGCUCUGAUACUGGAUGGCUUGAGAUUGGGAGAGGGAUGCGGAAUUCCAGGUGUAGCGGUGAAAUGCGUAGAUAUCGGGAGGAACACCUGUGGCGAAGGCGGCCCCUGGUUGGAUACUGACGCUGAGACGCGAAAGCGUGGGAGCGAACAGG